UCGGCCGGCGGAGCGGCGGCAUGCGGCGGGCUCGGGCCGCGGCGCUGGCGGCGCUGCUUGUGGUGCUGAUCGCAGGGACUGCGGACACAGACCAAGUGCAGCAGACGCCGUGGGCAGAGACCACGGAGGGCAUCGGCAUCAACAUCACUUGCCAGAACCCCAAAACUGCUGCCGACUCUACCCACUGGUAUCGCCAAUUCCCACGCCAAGCACCCAAGCUGAUAGCAACGGCUGUCAUGGGCACAAAACCGGUGCUGGAGCCAAAGGGGAGUCUGACGGUGUCGGCAGAUCGGCGUUCGAGCUCGCUGUGGCUCGCUGAGCCCCGGCGCGGGGACGCGGCCGUGUAUUACUGCGCGCUGGGGGCCACGGGCAGAGGAGCCGGGGCUGCGGCCGGGCACGAACCGCCGCGGGCGGGGCCGGGCGGGGCCAGCAGGGGGCGCUGCCGCUCCGCCCGCCGGGGCCGCCGAGCCCCGCUCGUCCCGGGCUGCCGGGGCAGAGCCGCCACCAGAACCGACACCGGCACCAGAACCGACACCGACACCGAUACUAGCACCGAUACUCACUCCGGCACCCACUGA